UACAUGCAAGUCGAGCGAAUGGAUUAAGAGCUUGCUCUUAUGAAGUUAGCGGCGGACGGGUGAGUAACACGUGGGUAACCUGCCCAUAAGACUGGGAUAACUCCGGGAAACCGGGGCUAAUACCGGAUAACAUUUUGAACCGCAUGGUUCGAAAUUGAAAGGCGGCUUCGGCUGUCACUUAUGGAUGGACCCGCGUCGCAUUAGCUAGUUGGUGAGGUAACGGCUCACCAAGGCAACGAUGCGUAGCCGACCUGAGAGGGUGAUCGGCCACACUGGGACUGAGACACGGCCCAGACUCCUACGGGAGGCAGCAGUAGGGAAUCUUCCGCAAUGGACGAAAGUCUGACGGAGCAACGCCGCGUGAGUGAUGAAGGCUUUCGGGUCGUAAAACUCUGUUGUUAGGGAAGAACAAGUGCUAGUUGAAUAAGCUGGCACCUUGACGGUACCUAACCAGAAAGCCACGGCUAACUACGUGCCAGCAGCCGCGGUAAUACGUAGGUGGCAAGCGUUAUCCGGAAUUAUUGGGCGUAAAGCGCGCGCAGGUGGUUUCUUAAGUCUGAUGUGAAAGCCCACGGCUCAACCGUGGAGGGUCAUUGGAAACUGGGAGACUUGAGUGCAGAAGAGGAAAGUGGAAUUCCAUGUGUAGCGGUGAAAUGCGUAGAGAUAUGGAGGAACACCAGUGGCGAAGGCGACUUUCUGGUCUGUAACUGACACUGAGGCGCGAAAGCGUGGGGAGCAAACAGGAUUAGAUACCCU
rnacentral:rRNA from 1 species